CUUGCUAGGUGGAUUAGUGGCGCACGGGUGAGUAAUAUAUAGAUAACGUGCCUCUUAGUCUGGGAUAGCCAUUGGAAACGAUGAUUAAUACUAGAUACUCCUUCUAACUCUAAUGUUAGUUGGGAAAGUUUUCCGCUAAGAGAUCGGUCUAUAUCCCAUCAGCUAGUUGGUAGUGUAAGAGACUACCAAGGCAAUGACGGGUAGCGGGUUUGAGAGGAUGAUCCGCCACACUGGUACUGAGACACGGACCAGACUCCUACGGGAGGCAGCAGUGAGGAAUAUUGCACAAUGGAGGAAACUCUGAUGCAGCAACGCCGCGUGGAGGAUGACGCAUUUCGGUGUGUAAACUCCUUUUAUAUGUCAAGAAAAUGACGGUAGCAUAUGAAUAAGCACCGGCUAACUCCGUGCCAGCAGCCGCGGUAAUACGGAGGGUGCAAGCGUUAUUCGGAAUCACUGGGCGUAAAGGACGCGUAGGCGG
rnacentral:rRNA from 1 species